ACGAACGCUGGCGGCGUGCCUAAUACAUGCAAGUAGAACGCUGAAGAGAGGAGCUUGCUCUUCUUGGAUGAGUUGCGAACGGGUGAGUAACGCGUAGGUAACCUGCCUUGUAGCGGGGGAUAACUAUUGGAAACGAUAGCUAAUACCGCAUAACAAUGGAUGACACAUGUCAUUUAUUUGAAAGGGGCAAUUGCUCCACUACAAGAUGGACCUGCGUUGUAUUAGCUAGUAGGUGAGGUAAUGGCUCACCUAGGCGACGAUACAUAGCCGACCUGAGAGGGUGAUCGGCCACACUGGGACUGAGACACGGCCCAGACUCCCACGGGAGGCAGCAGUAGGGAAUCUUCGGCAAUGGGGGCAACCCUGACCGAGCAACGCCGCGUGAAGGAAGAAGGUUUUCGGAUCGUAAAGCUCUGUUGUAAGUCAAGAACGGGUGUGAGAGUGGAAAGUUCACACUGUGACGGUAGCUUACCAGAAAGGGACGGCUAACUACGUG
rnacentral:rRNA from 1 species